rnacentral:rRNA from 1 species
GACGAACGCUGGCGGCGUGCUUAACACAUGCAAGUCGAACGGAAAGGCCCUGCUUGCAGGGUACUCGCGUGGCGAACGGGUGAGUAACACGUGGGUGAUCUGCCCUGCACUUCGGGAUGAGCCUUGGAAACUGGGUCUAAUAUCGGAUAGGAGCCAUUUUUCUUCUGAUGGUUGGAAAGUUUUUUGGGUUUGGGAUGGGCUCGCGGCCUAUCUGCUUGUUGGUGGGGUAGUGGCUUACUAAGCCGGCGCCGGGUAGCCGGCCUGGAGGGGUGGCGGGCCAAAUGGGGCUGGGGAUCGGGCCAGACUCCUACGGGGAGCAGGAGGGGGGAAAUUUGCAAAAUGGGCGGGAGCCUGGUGCAAGGACGGCGGGGGGGGGGAUACCGGCUUUGGGUUGGAAACUCGUUUCGGUAGGGGAGGAGGUGUGAGUGACGGUACCUAGUUAAGAAGCACCGGCUAACUACGUG